UUCAAAGAUUAAGCCAUGCAUGUCCAAGUAUAAGCAAUUAUACGGGAAAUGGAAUGGCUCAUUAAAUCAGUUAUGUUUAUUUGAUAGUACCUUACUACUUGGAUAACCGUGGUAAUUCUAKAGCUAAUACAUGCUGAAAACCCCGACUCGCGGAGGGGUGUAUUUAUUAGAUUAAAAACCAAUGCCCUCUGGGGCUCAGUGGUGGUUCAUAAUAACUUCUCGGAUCGCACGGCCUUGCGCUGGCGAUGGUUCAUCCAAAUUUCUGCCCUAUCAACUUUCGAUGGCUGGGUCUUGGCCAGCCAUGGUGACAACGGGUAACGGAGGGUUAGGGCUCGACCCCGGAGAGGGAGCCUGAGAAACGGCUACCACAUCCAAGGAAGGCAGCAGGCGCGCAAAUUACCCAAUCCCGACGCGGGGAGGUAGUGACAAUAAAUACUGAUGCAGGGCUCUUUUGGGUCCUGCAAUUGGAAUGAGUACAAUUUAAAUCCCUUAACGAGGAACAAUUGAGGAAUCUGGUGC
rnacentral:rRNA from 1 species